rnacentral:rRNA from 1 species
UAACGCGUGAGGAACCUGCCUCAAAGAGGGGGACAACAGUCGGAAACGACUGCUAAUACCGCAUAAGCCCACAGCUCGGCAUCGAGCAGAGGGAAAAGGAGUGAUCCGCUUUGAGAUGGCCUCGCGUCCGAUUAGCUAGUUGGUGAGGUAAUGGCCCACCAAGGCGACGAUCGGUAGCCGGACUGAGAGGUUGAACGGCCACAUUGGGACUGAGACACGGCCCAG